rnacentral:misc_RNA from 1 species
GUGAAUCAUCGAAUUUUUGAACGCAAAUUGCACUUUCUGGUAUUCCGGAAAGUAUGCCUGUUUGAGGGUCAGUUAAAUAAAAAUCGGUGUUGUGGCGGCCUUUGGUGGUGCGGCGUGGGAUUGGGGUCGCCUUACUUCCGGUGAGGGGACUUAAAAUUUUGGCUUGAUUUUGGAAGGUAUUUAAAUCGCUUACGUACGUUUGAGAUU